AGUGAACGCUGGCGGUAGGCCUAACACAUGCAAGUCGAACGGCAGCACAGUAAGAGCUUGCUCUUACGGGUGGCGAGUGGCGGACGGGUGAGGAAUACAUCGGAAUCUACUUUUUCGUGGGGGAUAACGUAGGGAAACUUACGCUAAUACCGCAUACGACCUACGGGUGAAAGCAGGGGAUCUUCGGACCUUGCGCGAUUGAAUGAGCCGAUGUCGGAUUAGCUAGUUGGCGGGGUAAAGGCCCACCAAGGCGACGAUCCGUAGCUGGUCUGAGAGGAUGAUCAGCCACACUGGAACGGAAACACGGUCCAGACUCCUACGGGAGGCAGCAGUGGGGAAUAUUGGACAAUGGGCGCAAGCCUGAUCCAGCCAUACCGCGUGGGUGAAGAAGGCCUUCGGGUUGUAAAGCCCUUUUGUUGGGAAAGAAAAGCAGCAGGUUAAUACCCCGCUGUUCUGACGGUACCCAAAGAAUAAGCACCGGCUAACUUCGUG
rnacentral:rRNA from 1 species